GACGAACGCUGGCGGCGUGCUUAACACAUGCAAGUCGUACGGAAAGGCCCUGUUUUUGUGGGGCGCGCGGGUGGCGGGCGGGUGACUCACACGUAAGUUGCCCGCCCCUGUCUGUGGGAUAACUUCAGGUAGCUGUAGUUCUUAACGUAUAGGACCUCUUGCUGCUUGGUGUGGGUUGGCUCGUUUCGGUGGUUGGGGAUGGACUCGCGGCUUAUCAGCUUGUUGGUGGGGUAGUGGCUUACCAAGGCUUUGACGGGUAGCCGGCCUGAGAGGGUGACCGGCCACAUUGGGACUGAGAUACGGCCCAGACUCCUACGGGAGGCAGCAGUGGGGAAUAUUGCACAAUGGGCGGAAGCCUGAUGCAGCAACGCCGCGUGCGGGAUGACGGCCUUCGGGUUGUAAACCGCUUUCACCUGGGACGAAGCGUGAGGUACGGGAAUCUGUAGAAAAACACCCGGUUAAUACGGUC
rnacentral:rRNA from 1 species